rnacentral:lncRNA from 1 species
UCAAAGUGAUUUGCUAGUGGAAGUUGGGAGCCUCAUCGAAGAAGACUUCGCAAGUAGAUGUAGGUCAUUUGACCGAACCAUUAUAAAAUUGGCGUGUUCUCUGGUUUGCAUUUACUUAUUGCUAUUUACCUUACUGCAAACCUUCAUACGUGCUUUACUUCGUCAUUACUUUUUCUGCACACCUUUACGAACACGCUUUCAAGUUAAGCACUUCCGAGUUCGGUUUUUAUCGUAC